UCGGGAAUUUUGGGCAAUGGGCGAAAGCCUGAUCCAGCAAUGCCGCGUGCAGGAAGAAGGCCUUCGGGUUGUAAAUUGCUUUUGUACGGACGAAAAGGCUCUUUCUAAUAAAGAGGGCCCAUGACGGUACCGUAAGAAUAAGCACCGGCUAACUACGUGCCAGCAGCCGCGGUAAUACGUAGGGUGCGAGCGUUAAUCGGAAUUACUGGGCGUAAAGCGUGCGCAGGCGGUUCUAUAAGACAGAUGUGAAAUCCCCGGGCUCAACCUGGGAAUGGCAUUUGUGACUGUAGAGCUAGAGUACGGUAGAGGGGGAUGGAAUUCCGCGUGUAGCAGUGAAAUGCGUAGAUAUGCGGAGGAACACCGAUGGCGAAGGCAAUCCCCUGGACCUGUACUGACGCUCAUGCACGAAAGCGUGGGGAGCAAACAGGAUUAGAUACCCCAGUAGUCCCUGAGCGGGCUGGCAAGGCGCAU
rnacentral:rRNA from 1 species